UACGUAGGGGGCAAGCGUUGUCCGGAUUUAUUGGGCGUAAAGAGCGUGUAGGCGGUUUGGUAGGUCCGCUGUGAAAACUCGAGGCUCAACCUCGAGACGCCGGUGGAAACCAUCAGACUAGAGUCCGGAAGAGGAGAGUGGAAUUCCUGGUGUAGCGGUGAAAUGCGCAGAUAUCAGGAAGAACACCCGUGGCUAAGGCGGGUCUCUGGGCCGAUACUGACGCUGAGGAGCGAAAGCGUGGGGAGCGAGCAGG
rnacentral:rRNA from 1 species